rnacentral:rRNA from 1 species
CCUGCGGAGGGAUCAUUGCUGGAACGCGCUUCGGCGCACCCAGAAACCCUUUGUGAACUUAUACCUAUUGUUGCCUCGGCGUAGGCCGGCCUCUUCACUGAGGCCCCCUGGAAACAGGGAGCAGCCCGCCGGCGGCCAACCAAACUCUUGUUUCUAUAGUGAAUCUCUGAGUAAAAAACAUAAAUGAAUCAAAACUUUCAACAACGGAUCUCUUGGUUCUGGCAUCGAUGAAGAACGCAGCGAAAUGCGAUAAGUAAUGUGAAUUGCAGAAUUCAGUGAAUCAUCGAAUCUUUGAACGCACAUUGCGCCCUCUGGUAUUCCGGAGGGCAUGCCUGUUCGAGCGUCAUUUCAACCCUCAAGCCUGGCUUGGUGAUGGGGCACUGCCUGUAAAAGGGCAGGCCCUGAAAUCUAGUGGCGAGCUCGCCAGGACCCCGAGCGUAGUAGUUAUAUCUCGCUCUGGAAGGCCCUGGCGGUGCCCUGCCGUUAAACCCCCAACUUCUGAAAAUUUGACCUCGGAUCAGGUAGGAAUACCCGCUGAACUUAAGCAUAUCA